rnacentral:lncRNA from 1 species
GGAAUCUUUCUGCGCCCUGGCGAGCGCCUUUCCGCCUCACUGCAUUGUAACCCCAUUCCCGAUCACCGGGUGGGAUCCAUCAUCGGAUCCCAAGAGGAGUCCGCGCAGCCCAGCCGGCACCCCGAAGCUCCUCCUUCACCGGGAACCCAAGCAGAAGACCGAUUAAGGAGGUCCUGACGACAGGACUCCUAUGGGUCCGACCCUGGGUCUCCCGCAGGCCCCUCUGGUAGUCCUCUUCCCACCCACCGCCUGGGGCUGCACCACAGCCGCCGCCGCAAGCUCCAGCACCGCCACCCCAGUCCCCGCAGCCGCGGCGUCGCCGCCAUUUUUUAAAGGGUCCGCAGCCUGACUGCCGAGUAAGGGGGGGUGGGGCGGGUGAGUCGGCCUCGCCAGCGCGCAUGCGCGAGGCCCGAGCCGCCGCUUCGGUCACAGUGACCGCCACCGUUGCCAAGGGAUGGGUCCCUGAGACUUGGCGAAGUGGGAGCCCUGUGUGAUCGUGCGUCAGAGUCGGGGCUGAGACCAGCCCCGGCCAGGGUAGUUACCGGGACGGUCUCCGGAGGCCGGGAUUCGCGGAGGGUCCACCAGCAGGAAGAAACCCCAGGAGGAAGAAACCUCAGACAGAUCGCCGGGGAGGCAGCGCGGGAUCCCAGCCUCAGGCGUGCGCGGACGGUGUGCGGGGCUAUCCACUAUAUAAAGAUCUUUAAAAAGGAAAACCUGUAAUAAAUGUGAAGCUAGUGCCUAUUUGCAAGAUGCACAGAAAUGCCUGAGACCAAUUGAAAAUUGCCUGUGAACAAAUACGCUUCCAGAUUUUUAGCUUGCUCUUUUCUAAACAUGAAAAUUCUCAGAAGAUUUUACUGAGAAAUGAGGACCUUAUCUGGACUUCACUGGGAGAAUUAUGAGUGGCCAGAGAUACUACAUUUUGAGCUGGAUGCCAGACCUUGAAAGAACUCUGCAUUUUUCAUUUUGAGAGAAGUCAGUGUGUUUUAUAAUGGGAGGAAGAUUAAAGCAGGUAUUUUGGCAUCAGAAGGACUGACCUUGACAGAGAUUGGUGAGGAGAGAUUUCACUCUGCAAGGAGCCAAUUGGCAGUGUUUGGAGAUGUUUUCUGUUGUCACAACUUGUGAAUGGAGUUACUACUAGCAUCGAAUUGGAGAGGCCAGGGAUGUUGCUAAACAUCCUGCAACAUACAAGGAAACAAGGUCAUCAGCUGGCAUUGAGAUUGAAGAAAAGUAUGUGAGGGGUGUGAAAUGAGGAAAGAAUCCAUAAGUUAAUCUUACAUAAGAGGAAGAAGGCAAUGGCUAACAAAAGAAAAAUGGGCUUGUUUGGCCGCAUUAAAGGCACAUUUGCUUUUCAAGAAUAUUCACUAACAGAAGACUGGUGAAUUAACAUUGGCAUGGAUUCUUCAAAUUAAUGAUGGAGGACAUGUUGCAAUUCUAUUAUUAUCUGAUGCAAAGGACUAUUCAUGGUCAUGACUAAUCAUUAAAUGGCUGUAAACUUUUGAGAAAACACUUCCAAAUACUGUGACAGCAUAUCGGCUGCAGUUGUUAAGGCUGGCAUUAUUGGCAUUAGAUCACUGAAGAGGAAAUAAAGUGUGCAAGAAUACUCUCUUGUCACCAGAUUACUGAGGUGUACUGGAGACUCAGCUAGCAAAAAAGAGAAGCAGCUGAACAUCAAAAGAGAAGCAGCAGCUAGGCAUCAGAGACUAUGGUUGGACGUUGGAGAGAAGCAGCUUGAUUUCAGAGAGACAGUUUGACAGUGCAACUUUGGAGAAGAGUCCAGCCAGAAACCUUCCUGCUACAUGUCCUUCCCAGCUGCCCUUCCUGCUGAGAGCCACUUUCCUUGGCAAUAAAAUCCUCUGCAUUUACCAUCCUUCAA